CUGAGAUGGUUUUUUUUGAGACGGAGUCUCGCUCGGUCGCACAGCGGCUUGAUCUCUGCUCACUGUAACCUCCGCCUCCUGGGUUCAAGCAAUUCUCCUGCCUCAGCCUCCCAAGUAGCUGGGAUUACCAGCACCCACCACCACACCUGGCUAAUUUUUAUAUUUUCAGUAGAGACGGGGUUUCACCAUGUUGGCAAGGAUGGUCUCGAACUCCUGACCUCAAAUGGUCCACUCACCUCAGCCUCCCAAUGUGCUGGGAUUACAGACACGAGCCACUGCACCCAGCCAAGGAUAUCACUUUUUCUUAGAUCUAAGGAGAUCAAAUAAUUUAUGUUUAUUUUAAGUUUAUUUCUGGCUACUUCAAUUUUUGGUUGCUCUGAGUUCCUUGGACAUACAUCCAUAUGUGUCUGUCUCUCAUACUAGAGACUUUUCUCAAAUGUUUGAGGACCAUUAACCGUCUAUUCAUUUGUAAGACCAAGGCAUUAAAAAUCUGAGUGUCAGCCAGGCACACUGCCUCACGCCUGUAAUGCCAGCACUUUGGGAGGCUGAGGUUGGAGGGAUUGCUUGAACCCAGGAGUCUGAGACCAGCCUGGGCAACAUGGCAAAACCCUGACUCUACCGAAACAAACAAACAAACCACCACCAAAAAAAAUUAGCUGGAUGUAGUGGCACACACCUGUAGUCCUAGCUACUAGGGAGGCUGAGGUGGGAGGAUCACUUGAGCCCAGAGGUCAAGGCUGCAGUGAGCUGUGUUUGUGCUACUGCACUCCAGCCUAAAAGAAUGAGAUACUAUCUCAAAAACAAAACAAAAUAAAACAAAAAAAAUCUGAAUGCCAAUUCCAGUGCUGGAUAAAAUGGAAUAUGCCCACUACAAGCUGCUCUUCCUGACAGGUUACAAUUAAAAAUUGGACAACACAAAAAGCAAUUGAGGAUUCUGAAAAGGAAAAAUAGCUGGUUGAUAGAGGAGAGUAAAAACUGGAAGAUCAAGUAGUACACUGGAGUUUCUUGGGUUCUUUUCCCCUCUUCUUUGCAGAAUUGCCCAAGGGGUAAGGUGUGUGAGGGGUCAGACAGCAAAACAACAACAACAACAACAACAAAACAAAACCCAUAAAACUUCUUUCUGGCCAGAGGAUGAGGACAAGAGAUCCAUGUGGGCUGGAGAGCAUGAUGACAGCGUACUUUCACAUUCAUUAUUUUUUCCCUCUUGGCCUUGCCUAAAGGUUGGCCAGCAGUCCAGGCACCUCAAAGCCUGUCUCUUUCCCUGGAAGAAAUGAGAGAAGGGGUCUCUGUGGCUGUAAGCAUGUAAAAGGAAUCCUGUUGUUUCUUCUCUUUUCUUUCACUGCCUCACUCUUCGGGUGAAGCCAGUCACAUGGAACUGUGUGACAGAGAAGGAGGUUAAAACUGUCUGAGAGAAACCCAUCUUUCUAGCAAGAGAAACAGCGAAAGGGGUGCCUGGGAGCCAGAGAUGGGGAAGAAAAUCCCAGCAAGGAAAGGACCAGAGAAGGGAAUCCCUUAAUUCUGUGUAGGAACUAACACAAGCCCCAGACUCACCCAAGUGGCACAUGCAUGGAAUAGACCCCAAAGGCACAGCAAAGUCUCUCAGAAAUAAACUAUGAUAUAAACCAUCAUUCAAAUUGCAGACAAAUCACUGAGAGGCGCACAUGAGGGCAAACUCAAACAGGAUAGCAAACGCUUUUAAAAUAAAACUGGCAUUGAACCCAUCACCCACAGAAGGAGAGGCAGAGCUUGUGAAACUGGAUUGCCUGUUAAAACAAAGCAAAAUCAUUAUUCUCCAGAUGUUAACAGGACCCAGACUCUUAAACAUACUCUUCAAAAUACACUGACGAUGCACUCCAAGAUUAUAUGACAUACAAAGAACUAGAAGAAUGUUACCAGUUCUCAAGAGAAACAAACGAUGAUGAACAGAUGUCAACCCUGAGAUGACACAGAUGCUGGAAUUACCAGAAUCAGAUUUAAAACAGUUAUUACAUCUAUGUUCCAUAAGUGAAAGUAAAGAGAAAUGACUGGGAAGAUGGAAGUUCUCAGCAGAGAAAAAGUAACCAUUAAAAAAAAAAAUGGAAACUAUAGAACUAAAAAAUAUAAGAUCUGAAAUUAAAAAUCCACUAGAUGAGGUCAAUAGCAGAAUGGAGAUACCAAAGGGAAGAUUCAGUGAGCUGAAAGAUUAACAGAAAUUAUCCAAUUUGAACAACAGAGAGGAAAAACAUGUUAAAAAAAAAAGAAUAGAGACUUAAAGAACAAUCUUAAAUAUCAAUCUGAAAUAUAGGACAGUAUCAAAAGGUCUAACAUUUAUUUCACUGGACUUCUGGAAGGAGAAAGAAAGAGAUUGAUGCACAAAAAGGUAUGAAAAAAUAGUAGCUAAUAACUUCCCAAAUUUAGCCAAAUAUAAAAAUUUAUAGAUUCAAAAACUCAGUUAACAUGAGAGUUGAUUAAACUCGAAGAAUGCCACACCCAGACACAUCAUAACCAAACUACUAAAAACCAAAGACAGAAAAGCCCUUGAAAGCAUCCAGAGAAAAAUGACACAUUAUAUAAGUAGACAAGAAUUCAAAUGCCUACCAAUUUUGCAUCAGAAACCAUGAAGGGGGCCAGGUGCAGUGGCUCAUGCCUGUAAUCCCAGCACUUUGGGAGGCUGAGGCGGAUGGAUCACGAGGUCAGGAGAUCGAAGAUCAUCCUGGCCAACAUGGUGAAAACCCGUCUCUACUAAAAAUACAAAAAUUAGAUGAGCGUGGUUAUAGAGGCUGGGGGAGUGGGAGGAAUGAAGAGAUGGUGGUCAAAGGAUACAAAAAUCUCAGACAGGAGGAAUAAGUUUUAUUUUGAGAUCUAUUGCACAGCAUAGUGAACAUAGUAAAUAAUAGUGUGUUCUGCAUUUCAAA
rnacentral:lncRNA from 10 species